rnacentral:rRNA from 1 species
CUACGGGUGGCAGCAGUGGGGAAUAUUGCACAAUGGACGAAAGUCUGAUGCAGCAACGCCGCGUGGAGGAUGACACAUUUCGGUGCGUAAACUCCUUUUAUAUAGGAAGAUAAUGACGGUACUAUAUGAAUAAGCACCGGCUAACUCCGUGCCAGCAGCCGCGGUAAUACGGAGGGUGCAAGCGUUACUCGGAAUCACUGGGCGUAAAGAGCGUGUAGGCGGGUAGUUAAGUCAGAAGUGAAAUCCAAUAGCUCAACUAUUGAACUGCUUUUGAAACUGAUUACCUAGAAUAUGGGAGAGGUAGAUGGAAUUUCUGGUGUAGGGGUAAAAUCCGUAGAGAUCAGAAGGAAUACCGAUUGCGAAGGCGAUCUACUGGAACAUUAUUGACGCUGAGACGCGAAAGCGUGGGGAGCAAACAGGAUUAGAUACCCGCGUAGUC